AUUAGACGAAUCAUCUGGAAAGAUGAAUCAAAGAAGGUAAUAAUCCUGUAGUCGAAAAUGUUGUCUCUCUUGAGUGGAUCCUGAGUACGACGGAGCACGUGAAAUUCCGUCGGAAUCUGGGAGGACCAUCUCCUAAGGCUAAAUACUCUCUAGUGACCGAUAGUGAACCAGUACCGUGAGGGAAAGGUGAAAAGCACCCCGGAAGGGGAGUGAAAUAGAACCUGAAACCGUGUGCUUACAAGUAGUCAGAGCCCGUUAAUGGGUGAUGGCGUGCCUUUUGUAGAAUGAACCGGCGAGUUACGAUUUGAUGCAAGGUUAAGCAGUAAAUGUGGAGCCGUAGCGAAAGCGAGUCUGAAUAGGGCGUUUAGUAUUUGGUCGUAGACCCGAAACCAGGUGAUCUACCCUUGGUCAGGUUGAAGUUCAGGUAACACUGAAUGGAGGACCGAACCGACUUACGUUGAAAAGUGAGCGGAUGAACUGAGGGUAGCGGAGAAAUUCCAAUCGAACCUGGAGAUAGCUGGUUCUCUCCGAAAUAGCUUUAGGGCUAGCCUCAAGUGAUGAUUAUUGGAGGUAGAGCACUGUUUGGACGAGGGGCCCCUCUCGGGUUACCGAAUUCAGACAAACUCCGAAUGCCAAUUAAUUUAACUUGGGAGUCAGAACAUGGGUGAUAAGGUCCGUGUUCGAAAGGGAAACAGCCCAGACCACCAGCUAAGGUCCCAAAAUAUAUGUUAAGUGGAAAAGGAUGUGGCGUUGCCCAGACAACUAGGAUGUUGGCUUAGAAGCAGCCAUCAUUUAAAGAGUGCGUAAUAGC
rnacentral:rRNA from 1 species